CACACACCUCGGGACAAGGGAUGAAUCUGCAGCACGACGUUAACGCGAGUCACCGCAGGUAUAUUGAUGGUAACGAUCCUACUUCUGGAUGGAAGAUAAGAGCCAGGCAAAGACGUAGCUGUUGACUUUGAACUGGCAUGAAAAGCUGCAAUGAGGACGAUAUAAGGAGACACAGCAGAGUCAUUACUGAUGCCUCCAUCUCUCUUGCCUCGCCGUUGGGCUGGUGCCUUCCUGCUCUGUACCCGCGCCUGGAAUCCUUCUCCGCUGGCCACGCUUCGUGUUUCGCAGCACCACUCGCUUCAAAGCCGCUGGAUUUCUUCCCUGCCGC